UGGAGUCCAGACAGAUUCAUUUACAUUCCACGAGUGGUGAUUGCAACAACUGGGAUUAGUUGCAGAAGUUGAUGUCAGCAGUCUCACCACCCAGGAGGUCAUUUUUACACAGCAACAUACAUUCCUCCUGCAACUGUUUGUCAGAGUUCCUCCUCUGACUGCCCGUCUGGACACAACCUGGGCGUGGCACACCCACGCAGCAACAAGACUGCAGACCAUUGUGCAUCAGAGCACCUGAAUUUGACGAGAGGGAGCGGCAUAAAAGCCAGCGGACCCAGGUGACCUUCGCCAUAACGUACCCUAUCUUUAACAUGUCUGCCCUGUUGCCUGUGAUCGUGUCCUGCCUAACGACCUCCACCUGGAUCUCUGCUUGCUUCCCUCAACCCUUGACCUCUGCUUGGACUCGGACAUCGUUGCCUCUCUCCAGCCCCCGACUGUCUGCCUCCAUACUGACUGCCUCUUCGCCUUGCCCCUUGGAUUCGACGAAAGAUUCACACAACACGGACCAACAACAACCCCUGGUAAAACUUACAUUGUUAAUUCUACACAUCGUCCGCACUCAUUCACUUGUGGUAGCAUACACACCCCACACACUCAUCAAGGUUUCAAUAAACCUGAUAAACCGCA